GUCUGGAAUAGCUCAGUUGGCAGAAUGUGAGACUCUGAAUCUCAGGGUUAUGGGUUUGAGCCCCACGUUGGGCA